CACACACACACACACACACACACACACACACACCCGCCUCUCCCAGGACUCUGGGUCUCUGGGAUCUGGUUUAGGAGAGGGCUUGGAGUCCUUUGCCCCUUUGCCUGAUGGUGACCUUUCUGGCACCCGCCUAAGUUAGCAAAUAUGAGCAGGAUUCGGUGAGAGCAAGGGAUAUGAGUGUCCUGGUGGUGUUUAUGCUUUCAUCCUGCGCACAAUGAGACGGUCCCACACCUGACUGGCUGGUCCCCUGGGGAUGUCUGUCAUAUUUCUUUACUGUGGUAGAAGGAAGAAAACCCGUUCAUUUGACCUUGGAAUGCCUGUGGAAACUCUCGCCAGGCCCCAAUUUCUGUUCUUUUUUCUUCCAGGGCGCUGGCUGUCACCUGAGCGUCCCAGCCCAGUGCUGAGUGUGGUGGUACCCUUCAGAGCUCAUGGCUCCCUGCCUGACUGUGCCGUCUCCUGCUGUGCUGGUCAGACAAGCCGUGCACACUCUCCCAGAGGCGGCUGAUUGUUAUGAAAACCUUUGCCACAUAAACAGAAACAAGACACGGACUCUUGCAGAUACGAGUGCCAGCAAAUGCCAGCAACUUUUCUCUUCUAACCUCUGGAACACAAUUGCAUCAGCUUAGCCGUGUGACUGGGAAGAAAUACCAGCUCGAAGACCAUCUGGUGCCCGUGUUGACUAGAGGCAUUGGAUUCCUUGGAGCUUGUGAGCCAACAGACAUGGGCACUAGUCACCUAAUGGGGUCCUCUGCAGGAAGAGCAUACUGUUAACUUUCCCUCUAGGUGUCUUUCCCUUGCUUUUCGAGAGGCAGCUGUGGAGCAAGAGAGAACUUUGCCAGAAGGUUCUUCCUCCUCAGCGAGCCACUGUCCUCAGAUAUGCAAGACUCAAAGGCCAACAGAGGCCACAGAGGGAGGAGAUCACCCCAAAUAACAUCAGAAGCUUCUUAUCUGUGCUCAAUGGAGACUCACAGACAGACAUUUUCAUAAUGUUUAAAUGGCAAUUAUUGGCAAAUCUUGUACAUGUAUGUGUUUUGACCAUAUCCAUACUAACUCCCUCCAGUUCUACAUACUGACUUCUCUCUACUGGAUCUCCCAGCUUCACCAUUUAAUUUGCCAAACCUUUUUUUUCCCAGAAUAUUUAGCCCAUUGAAUCAUAAAGAAAAAGAAGUAAGCUUUUCAGAUAAAUGUAUUUCUUCUAGGUACGACUGAAAUCAUUUUAUGGAGAAUGAGACUUGAGACUGGAAAGAGAUGGCGUCAUCAGUGAGUGAUCCUCUGGAGUGAUACCUACAGGCCAUUAAUGAAGUCAGUGGGCUUACACAUAAAAUAACACCCAGGAGGAUGCCACUUAUGUUAGAAAAAAGAGGAGGGGAAAUAAUCGUAGCUAGAUGCCAGACAGUGCUGGCUGCUUUGCGUAAUAGACUCUUGGGACCCUAAAAUCUGUCCUAUGAAUUAGUCAGUUUGAGAUGUUAAGUGUCUUGCUCAAAGCCAGAUAGGAAAUAGUGGAGCCAGGCUCUAAGCCAAGCAGUUAGUGUGUAUCCCAUACCCCGCCCUGCAAGCAUGGCUCAGGUUAUAGAAGCAUAAACUCACACAAUAAAGUCAGAUAUAUUCACAUAAACUGAAAA